UCCGAAGGGGGCUAGCGUUGUUCGGAUUUACUGGGCGUAAAGCGCAUGUAGGCGGGUCGUUAAGUUGGGGGUGAAAUCCCGAGGCUCAACCUCGGAACUGCCUUCAAAACUGGCGACCUGGAGCAAGAUAGAGGCAAGUGGAAUUGCGAGUGUAGAGGUGAAAUUCGUAGAUAUUCGCAGGAACACCAGUGGCGAAGGCGACUUGCGGGAUCUUUGCUGACGUUGAGAUGCGAAAGCGUGGGGAGCCAACAGG
rnacentral:rRNA from 1 species